rnacentral:rRNA from 1 species
UACGUAGGGGGCAAGGCGUUGUCCGGAUUUAUUGGGCGUAAAGAGCGUGUAGGCGGCCGUACAGGUCCGUUGUGAAACCUGGAGGCUCAACCUCCAGCCGUCGACGGAAACCGUACGGCUAGAGUCCGGAAGAGGAGAGCGGAAUUCCUGGUGUAGCGGUGAAAUGCGCAGAUAUCAGGAGGAACACCAAUGGCGAAGGCAGCUCGCUGGGACGUGACUGACGCUGAGACGCGAAAGCGUGGGGAGCAAACAGG